GACAUCGUGGGGACGUGGGGACACAGGGAUGUGGGGACAUCGUGGGGACAUGAGGGUAAGGGGAUACUAUAGGGACAUGGGGACACCAUGGGGACACCAUAGGGACGUGGGGACACAAGGACAUGGGGACAUCGUGGGGAUAUGGGGAUAAGGGGGUAUCACAGGGACGUGGGGACAUGAUGGGGACAAGGGACACGGCUGGCAUGGGGACGUUGUGGGGACACAAGGAUAUGGGGACAUCAUAGGGACAUCGUGGAGAUGUCAUGGGGACACAGGGACAUGGGGACACAGGGACAUGGGGACGUCGUGGGGACACAAGGACAUGGGGACAUCGUGGGGAUAAGGGACACAGGGACGUGGGGACGUUGUGGGGACAUUGUGGGGACAUGGGGACAUAGGGAUAUGGGGACAUUGUGGGGAUGUGGGGACACAGGGAUGUGGGGACAUCAUGGGGACAUCAUGGGGACAAGUGACACAGGGACAUGGGGACAUUGUGGGGACACCAUGGGGACAUGGGGACACAAGGAUAUGGGGACAUCGUGGAGAUAUGGGGUCACAGGGACAUCGGGACAUCAUGGGGACAUGGGGACGUUGUGGAGAUGUUGUGGGGACACCAUGGGGACGUCAUAGGGACAAAGGGACAAAGGGAUGACAUGGGGACACACUGUAGGGCUGCUAUGGGGCCGUUAUGGGGCGGCUAUGGGGCACUGUGGGGACGUGAUGGGGAUGUGGGGAUAUGGGGACGGCCCCACAAAUUCAUCCCCCAUAACCGCCCCACAGCUGCCCUAUAGCUGCCCCAUAACCACCCUAUAACUGCCUUAUAGCUGCCCCAUAACUGCCCCAUAGCUGCUGCAUAACCGCCCCAUAACUGCCCCAUAGCUGCCCUAUAACCACCCCAUAGCUGCUCCAUAGCUGCCCUAUAACCACCCCAUAACCGCCCCACAGCUGCCCCAUAACUGCCUCAUAACCACCCCAUAAUUACCCCAUAACCACCCCAUAGCUGCCCUAUAGCUGCCCUAUAACAGCCCCAUAGCUGCCCUAUAGCUGCCCCAUAACCACCCCAUAGCUGCCCUAUAACAGCCCCAUAACUGCCCCAUAGCUGCCCUAUAACAGCCCCAUAACUGCCCCAUAGCUGCCCCAUAGCCGCCCCAUAGAUCCCCCAUAACCGCCCCAUAGCCGCCCCAUAGAUCCCCCAUAACCCCCCACACCGGGGGAGGGGCCGCCAUGGCGUGUGUGUGGGCGGAGGUCAGAGGUCAGGGCGGAGGUCAGAGGUCAAGGC
rnacentral:lncRNA from 1 species